rfam:Candidatus Scalindua brodae SCABRO_contig000195, whole genome shotgun sequence.
AAGAGCCGGAUGUGGGAAAUCCACAAGUCCGGUUCUGUGAGGGGUGUUGAAGUUCCUCACACAUGGUUUGAAUAAUGUGACACUCUACAAUCGAAAGAGUAGAGAAACAGGGAAAACAAAGUAAACCUAAAUGGAGGAACCAUAUUAUGCCUACUCGAC